GUCUAUGUUCUAUGAGGAUAACCUAUCUAAUAGGGACCUCAUUGUGAAAGAUCCCACGCAGAGAGACCCCUACUCAAGUCUUGGGAAAUCGCGGACCCCAGACAUAGAGAGACCA
rnacentral:pre_miRNA from 14 species